AUUGAAACACAUAAAACUUGUCUCUUUUGGCAAAUGGGGUAGAUGUGGUGAACUAGCUGUUUUCCUAAUUAACUGACCAUAGGCACUUUCAAACUCUUUUUCUCAGCUUUUAUACCACAUUACAAAGGUGGUGUCAAGAUUAAAAUAUCUAUUUUAGGCCAUUAGGGGCCAGGUUUAGCCUGUGUCAAUGGAGAUAUACUGACCUGCCCUGCCGAGCAUCUGGUGCAUGUCACUGCAGAGAUUUUGUUCUGUAUUCUCUGCAGGCUGUACUGAAUGGUUUGGCAGCAUUUGAUACUACAGGAUCCUUUUAGCUUACCUUGAAUCUCCUAUGAGAUUUCAGAUUGCAUAUGUCUGGUUUUGAUUAUCUUUGUCAGUUUGUUUUCUUCUGAUAUUUUUCUCCUCUGACAGCUAUGUUAACUCUUCUCUCACCCAAGACAAGAUCUUGUGCCCCAAUGGGAUAUAAUGAAAAUAUGCUUCUGAAAUUUUCUUUGACAUCAUCUUCUGACAACGCGUCUGACUCGAAUACAGGCAGAGCGUCAAUAUUGAGUCCAUUCCCGUGGCUCCUCUGACGUGGCCCAGCAGCAGAAUACCAGCCCUCCUGGGACAUGGAGGCGGCUGUAUUUUCCUGUGUGAGAGCCUGAUACAGCAUAGUGUUUAUCUGACUGUCUUUCACCUGUCUUGUUAUGAUUUGCUCCUGCAGUUUAUAUUCAUGCAGAAAUUUUUACUUAAUUUUAUCUACUAACUUUUAACAGAAAAAAAGUGAGCUGGAACUUCUCUGUGCGUCUCUUUGCCUUUCUGUAGAAUGAGUGUGCGUGUUUUGUGAUGGAAUAUGAAUAUCUUUGGAUGAAUGGCACUAGAGGAAUCACCAGAAUUAUUAUUUUGACUUUUAGCUACAGUAUAUCAUGAUCAAUUUUGUCUUUCAUUUAACUUGUGAGGUAGUAUAGAGGGCAAAGUGACAUAGUAUGUUGAUAGACGGGGUAUUGCUGUGGUUGAGUUUGCCAAAAUUAACACGUUUCCCUUUGGAAAAAAAAACUUUGCAAAAGUUUCUCUUUUCUGAGUACAUGCAUUUUAUGCUAGAGCCUUGAGCUGAUUCUGUCUCUCCUAAGUUAUAAACCCUUAUGGAUGUACCAUAAAGAUGUCCACCUAAUGCACAGAAAAGCAGAUUAAUUGAUCACAGUAAUAUAUUCUUAUCCACUGAAUAAGAGCAUUCCACACAUUGUUUCUUGUUUUGUUUCUGGCUUGUAAAUCUUCAUUGUAGGAUACAAAUGAAAAUGACCCAAAUAUGUAUUAUUUAUGAAUAGGACUCUCAGAUAUUAUGCUUUAGAUUGAUUGUGUUAGACAGGAUAUAACAGAAGCACAAUAAGUCAAUGAAAAAUAAAAAGCAGCAAAAAUGUUUCA
rnacentral:lncRNA from 1 species